CUACGGGUGGCAGCAGUGAGGAAUAUUGCACAAUGGGGGGAACCCUGAUGCAGCAACGCCGCGUGGAGGAUGACGCAUUUCGGUGUGUAAACUCCUUUUAUAUGUCAAGAAAAUGACGGUAGCAUAUGAAUAAGCACCGGCUAACUCCGUGCCAGCAGCCGCGGUAAUACGGAGGGUGCAAGCGUUACUCGGAAUCACUGGGCGUAAAGGACGCGUAGGCGGGUUGGAAAGUCAGGUGUGAAAUCCUACAGCUUAACUGUAGAACUGCACUUGAAACUUCUAAUCUAGAGUAUGGGAGGGGGAGUUGGAAUUAGUGGUGUAGGGGUAAAAUCCGUAGAUAUCACUAGGAAUACCUAAAGCGAAGGCGAUCUCCUGGAACAUUACUGACGCUAAGGCGUGAAAGCGUGGGUAGCAAACAGGAUUAGAUACCCGAGUAGUC
rnacentral:rRNA from 1 species